ensembl:lncRNA
UUGAACUUUUUAUUGCCUGCUGAAUGAAAAAGUUUCACAUUUUAAUAUUCGGCAAUGUUUCCUGUUCAAUAUUCCUGAACAUUUUUAUUCACAGCUCAGAGUCCGUCUCUUCACUGACAUUUAUCCAAGACCAACAAUAUUCAUCUGUCUCUGAUUGUGUUUGUCUCAUCGUUCCAUCAGAACCAUAUUAGUUUCUGAGAUGUGUUCACUUGGAGGCUUCUGAUAAUUAUUCAGUAAUGAAUAUUCAAAUGUUUUCUUCUGUAUUCUGAAUCAGUCACAAAUAAACCACAUCAAAAGGUCAACAGUGAUUUUGAAAUGUAUUUGUUUCUUUAUUGGUUCAGAACCAAUAACUGGUUUCUGGCUGUUACAAACGGGAUCUAAGAGUUAUUUAGGCAACAUAUGUCACAAGUGCCAGGUUUAUUUCCUGGGUUUGCCUUUUAUUUUGACACCCUGUCUCUUCCUGUGCUCCUGUCAUUCCAGUUUGUCCAGCUUGUUGCUUGUUCACCUCUGCUCCCUCUGCCACAGCUGUGCCACAGCAGCCACUGGGCCCAGCUGCACUAAUCUGAACCUGGAGUCUUUAAACCAGGUCCAGACUCACCUUCUGUCUUCUCAGGGAGGAUCCAGGGCUGUCAUCUGUCCACUGGAUCUUCAGCUGGUUCCUCCUGAACCUCUAGUUACCAGCUCUGCUGACAGAAUAGAUGCGGUUGACGUGUGGAUCCACAUUCAUUCUGUGCAUCAAGAUAAACACAUCAUGAAAUAUUCACACAUGUCAUGUAACACCAGAACCAGGCCUGUGUUUGUCUGAUGAAGCAGAUCCAGCAGCUGACACACUCUGGGAAAACAACAAACCAUCAGAGAGACUCAAGGACAACACAUCUGCUUCUGUUAAGAAGUGAAGAUGAGUUUCCACAGCAGCAUCACACUCCGCACUCACUGCAUUGGAACGAUAAUUGACUGAGCUGCAAGUGUCUCACACACAAAUAAGACGAGGUCAUGACCUCGGAGCGUCAUGCGGCGGCGUCCCGGUGGAGUGGACACACACUUCACAUCUCACGCAGUGUGUGAGGUUUAACAGGAGGGAGGUGGGGUAAUUAUAGCCAAGGAAGAUAUGAAAAUGACUCUGUGGGUUGACCUUUGACCUUGUCGGCAUCAUUAAAGAAGCAGCCUGUCACGUUGCUGCUUAGCACGUAGCACAACGCCACAGACCUUCAAAGCAAAUGACUUUUUACUAGGGCUGGGUGCGUCAACGUGCAUUGUCUGCAUUAACGCAGUUUCUUUUUAUUAUUGAUGAUUGGAAAGUUCAUUGCCCACUGGCUCUGAAUACACAUACAGACAAACAAUGGGUCAUCGGAGGAGCAGGCUGUUGAUCAGUACUGGCCUGAGAAACACACAACCAAUCAGAGCUGUUGGGGGUGGAUCCUAAGACUGCGCAGCGCUUACUUAACUGGAACCGACAGAUGAACUGAGAAAGGUGUCUUACGUGGACAUUAUCAAUUUAAAUAUUUUCCGAAUGACAGAGUUCAUUAAAACCAGUCAUUUGUAGCAACAGUAAAGCUGAUCCUGAAUCAGCUGAAUCGCAUCGUAGUACUUCAAGUGUGAGGUAUCAGUGCAAUGCAAUAUGCAACGUUGAUGCCAGCAAAUCCCCCACGUAAACAAACAGUGGAGGGAGACUUCGGCAGAUUAUAUUGGAUGUAGCGUGUGACAGAAGUAUAAACAAAAGACUCUCAUGGCAUCUGGUCUUCACUGUUAUUUUCUGCUUUGCUUUCCGGUUUUAUUUUGACACUUCUUGUUUGGUUUCCUGUCUG